AUAUUCAUUUGGGUUUGUGUAAGAUGGUUUGAGAAUUCCAUACCAAAAGUAAAAGAGAAGAUGGGUUGCAAUGGAUUGGUAAGACGGUCGAUUUUGUUCAACAUUUUGGGCUAAACGAGUGUGUCUACCCAACAUGGUAAUAAAAACUGAGAUAAAGAAACGAGGAUCAUAAACUUCUGUGCUGACACGCCGGGAUUUUGCAAGCCUUUGAUUGAGCUUGCAGAUCGAACACAAUUGUUAUGAUCGUUCUCAACGGUGGAAAAUCCAACUUGGCACGCUCUCUGUUCUCCCGAGUUGAGAUCAAAUUUCCACAUUUUCAAUUGCUCCUCCCCAAGUUCAUUUGGAGUUCAGAUCGAAAAACACCUACUGAUGCAAUACCCAAUGGUUGCUAUUUUUCCAAGGAACAAAGAUUUCUGUCUCUUUUCAAGCAAUGCUCCGCCGUGAAAGACUUGAAUCAACUCCAUGCCCGUAUUAUCCAGUCGGGUUUCGAUCAGAAUCUCUUCGUUCUUGGCAAACUCAUUGAGUUUUGUGCGGUUUCGGCCCAUGGCGACAUGAAUUACGCUGUUGCUGUUUUCAACCGAAUCGAAAACCCAGAUGGGUUUCUUUGGAAUACAAUGAUAAGGGGAUUUGGAAGAAUUAGUAAUCUUCCUAAAGCGUUUGAGUUCUACAAGCGAAUGCUAGAGAAGGGAAUCGCGGCAGACAAUUUCACUUUUUCUUUCUUGCUAAAGAUUUGUGGGCAGUUGGGGUCAAUUAUGUUGGGCAAGCAGUUACAUGUCAAUAUUCUGAAACUUGGCCUCGAUUCCCAUGUGUAUGUUAGGAACACGCUUAUUCAUAUGUAUGGCGGGUUAAAAGACGUCAAACUAGCACGCAACCUGUUUGAUGAAAUGCCCAAACCAGGUUUGGUAGCUUGGAAUACAGUUAUCGACUGUCAUGUCUCUUGUGGGAUGUACAACGAAGCACUUGCCUUGUUUCUUCAAAUGUUGCAGAGUGGCGUAGAGCCUGACGAAGCCACACUGGUUGUGACGGUCUCAGCAUGUUCUGCACUGGGUGCACUGGACUUUGGGAGGUGGGUUCAUUCCCAUGUGAAGGAUAACGAUAGCGGAAAGACUAUUGCCGUUUUCAAUUCAUUGAUCGACAUGUACGCCAAGUGUGGAGCAGUUGAAGACGCCCGUGAGAUGUUUAAUGCAACAAGUGGCAAGAACAUAGUAACAUGGAACACAAUGAUCAUGGGAUUAGCUACACACGGCGAUGUAGAGGAUGCACUGACAUUAUUCUCAAACAUGUUAGCAGAGAAGAUUGUGACUCCUGAUGGCGUGACAUUCUUGGGAGUAUUGUGUGCUUGUAACCAUGGAGGAAAGGUGGAGGAAGGGAGGAGAUAUUUUGAUCUAAUGACCAAACACUGCAAUAUCCAACCAACAGUUAAGCAUUAUGGAUCAAUGGUGGACAUUCUGGGACGAGCUGGGUUUGUAGAAGAAGCUUAUCAGCUGAUACGGAGUAUGCCAAUGGAGUGUAAUGCUGUUAUAUGGAGAACAUUACUUGCAGCCUGUCGGAUGCAUGGAAAUGUUAAGCUCGGGGAGAGGGUGAGGAGCCAUGUUCUUGAGAUAGAGCCAGAUCAUAGUAGUGAUUAUGUUCUUCUUGCAAAUAUAUAUGCAAGCUCUGGUCAAUGGAAUGAAAUGAUGAAGGUCAGAAAAUCAAUGCAACGAAAAGGAGUGCAGAAACCAGAGCCCGGUAAUAGUUUUUUGGAAAUUAAUCCAUGCAGGAAGUUGGAGAUGGAGACUGUUGAGAAUUAUAACAAUGCAGAAACAAACUAAAGUUAUAUCUGAGUUUACAGUGUGCAUUCGUUUGGAGUUCUUAUUUAACAGGUUGAAAAGCAAAACAUCGUAUAUUGUCGAGGAUUGUUGGGAGGGAGCUUAUGCCAUGAGAGCAGUGGACAAUAUCAUACUAGUGCGGAG